CAGGCCUAACACAUGCAAGUCGGGCGGACUUAUCCUUCGGGAUAGGUUAGCGGCGGACGGGUGAGUAACACGUAGGCAACCUGCCUGUAAGAUCGGGAUAACUACCGGAAACGGUAGCUAAGACCGGAUAGCUGGUUUCUCCGCAUGGGGGAAUCAUGAAACAUGGGGCAACCUGUGGCUUACGGAUGGGCCUGCGGCGCAUUAGCUAGUUGGUGGGGUAAUGGCCCACCAAGGCGACGAUGCGUAGCCGACCUGAGAGGGUGAUCGGCCACACUGGGACUGAGACACGGCCCAGACUCCUACGGGAGGCAGCAGUAGGGAAUCUUCCGCAAUGGGCGCAAGCCUGACGGAGCAACGCCGCGUGAGUGAUGAAGGUUUUCGGAUCGUAAAGCUCUGUUGCCAAGGAAGAACGCCUCGGAGAGUAACUGCUCUGAGGGUGACGGUACUUGAGAAGAAAGCCCCGGCUAACUACGUGCCAGCAGCCGCGGUAAUACGUAGGGGGCAAGCGUUGUCCGGAAUUAUUGGGCGUAAAGCGCGCGCAGGCGGUCUUUUAAGUUUGGUGUUUAAGCCCGGGGCUCAACCCCGGUUCGCACUGAAAACUGGGAGACUUGAGUGCAGGAGAGGAAAGCGGAAUUCCACGUGUAGCGGUGAAAUGCGUAGAGAUGUGGAGGAACACCAGUGGCGAAGGCGGCUUUCUGGACUGUAACUGACGCUGAGGCGCGAAAGCGUGGGGAGCAAACAGGAUUAGAU
rnacentral:rRNA from 1 species